GCCUUCAUAGCUCAAUUGGGAGAGCGUAAGACUGAAGAUCUUAAGGUCGUGCGUUCGAUCCGCACUGAAGGCA